GGCCUGGUGGUGUAAUGGCAACAUGUCCUGUAUAAUUGAACGAUGCAAAGGGUGUAUUGCAUGAAGAUCCCUGUUCAAUUCGGGGCCAGGCCA